UAGAAUGAAGAGCCUCAGAAGCUCUCCUU
rnacentral:piRNA from 1 species